CUCCUAAUGCAGCCGAUGGCGGUGGCAAGCCCGCAGACAAUGCAGAGCCGGAA
rnacentral:ribozyme from 2 species